GACGAACGCUGGCGGCGUGCUUAACACAUGCAAGUCGAACGGAAAGGCCCUGCUUUUGUGGGGUGCUCGAGUGGCGAACGGGUGAGUAACACGUGAGUAACCUGCCCUUGACUUUGGGAUAACUUCAGGAAACUGGGGCUAAUACCGGAUAGGAGCUCCUGCUGCAUGGUGGGGGUUGGAAAGUUUCGGCGGUUGGGGAUGGACUCGCGGCUUAUCAGCUUGUUGGUGGGGUAGUGGCUUACCAAGGCCUUGACGGGUAGCCGGCCUGAGAGGGUGACCGGCCACAUUGGGACUGGGAUACGGCCCAGACUCCUACGGGAGGCAGCAGUGGGGAAUAUUGCACAAUGGGCGGAAGCCUGAUGCAGCAACGCCGCGUGCGGGAUGACGGCCUUCGGGUUGAAACCGCUUUCGCCUGUGACGAAGCGUGAGUGACGGUAAUGGGUAAAGAAGCACCGGCUAACUACGUG
rnacentral:rRNA from 1 species